rnacentral:rRNA from 1 species
UGGCGAACGGGUGAGUAACACGUGGGCAACCUGGCCCAAAAGAGGGGGAUAACACUUGGAAACAGGUGCUAAUACCGCAUAACCAUAGUUACCGCAUGGUAACUAUGUAAAAGGUGGCUAUACUAACCGCUUUUGGAUGGGCCCGCGGCGCAUUAGCUAGUUGGUAGGGUAAAGGCUUACCAAGGCAAUGAUGCGUAGCCGAAUUGAGAGGUUGAUCGGCCACAUUGGGACUGAGACACGGCCCAAACUCCUACGGGAGGCAGCAG